rnacentral:rRNA from 1 species
GCCAGCCCGCUCAGAAACUUAAAGGAAGUUGACGGGGCCCGCGACAAGCGGAGGAGCAUGUGGUUAAUUCGAUGAUACGCGAGGAACCUUACCUGGGCUCGAACGUAAGAUGACUGUAGGUGAAAGCUUACAUCUCUUCGGAGCAUUUUACGAGGUGCUGCAUGGUUGUCGUCAGCUCGUGCCGUGAGGUGUCGGGUUAAGUCCCAUAACGAGCGCAACCCCUACCUUUAGUUGCCAUCAGGUUAAGCUGGGGACUCUAAAGGAACUGCCUACGCAAGUAGUGAGGAAGGCGGGGAUGACGUCAAAUCAGCACGGCCCUUACGUCCAGGGCUACACACGUGCUACAAUGGCCGAUACAGAGGGCAGCCACCUGGUGACAGGAUGCAAAUCUCCAAAGUCGGUCUCAGUUCGGAUCGGAGUCUGCAACCCGACUCCGUGAAGUUGGAUUCGCUAGUAAUCGCGCAUCAGCCAUGGCGCGGUGAAUACGUUCCCGGGCCUU